rnacentral:rRNA from 1 species
UACGAAGGGGGCUAGCGUUGCUCGGAAUCACUGGGCGUAAAGCGCACGUAGGCGGAUUGCUAAGUCAGGGGUGAAAUCCUGGAGCUCAACUCCAGAACUGCCUUUGAUACUGGCGACCUUGAGUCCGGGAGAGGUGAGUGGAACUGCGAGUGUAGAGGUGAAAUUCGUAGAUAUUCGCAAGAACACCAGUGGCGAAGGCGGCUCACUGGCCCGGUAUGACGCUGAGGUGCGAAAAGCGUGGGGGAGCA